AUUGAAUGCUGAAAGUAACAGAUAAUAAACAAUAGAUAUAGAGAUAUCUGACAUAGACGAUCCUUGUUCUUUCCUUCUGCCUUGUUCUCUAUAUUCUCUUGUUGUUGUCUUU
rnacentral:ribozyme from 13 species